AGAGCGAACGCUGGCGGCAGGCUUAACACAUGCAAGUCGAGCGGGCGUAGCAAUACGUCAGCGGCAGACGGGUGAGUAACGCGUGGGAACGUACCUUUUGGUUCGGAACAACUGAGGGAAACUUCAGCUAAUACCGAAUAAGCCCUUACGGGGAAAGAUUUAUCGCCGAAAGAUCGGCCCGCGUCUGAUUAGCUUGUUGGUGAGGUAAUGGCUCACCAAGGCGACGAUCAGUAGCUGGUCUGAGAGGAUGAUCAGCCACAUUGGGACUGAGACACGGCCCAAACUCCUACGGGAGGCAGCAGUGGGGAAUAUUGGACAAUGGGCGCAAGCCUGAUCCAGCCAUGCCGCGUGAGUGAUGAAGGCCCUAGGGUUGUAAAGCUCUUUUGUGCGGGAAGAUAAUGACGGUACCGCAAGAAUAACGCCCCGGCUAACUUCGCGCCAGCAGCCGC
rnacentral:rRNA from 1 species